rnacentral:rRNA from 1 species
CCUACGGGAGGCUGCAGUGGGGAAUAUUGGACAAUGGUGGGAACCCUGAUCCAGCCAUGCCGCGUGUGUGAAGAAGGCCCUCGGGUUGUAAAGCACUUUCAGUGAGGAAGAACGCCUGGUGGUUAAUACCCAUCAGGAAAGACAUCACUCACAGAAGAAGCACCGGCUAACUCCGUGCCAGCAGCCGCGGUAAUACGGAGGGUGCGAGCGUUAAUCGGAAUUACUGGGCGUAAAGCGCGCGUAGGUGGCUUGAUAAGCCGGUUGUGAAAGCCCCGGGCUCAACCUGGGAACGGCAUCCGGAACUGUCAAGCUAGAGUGCAGGAGAGGAAGGUAGAAUUCCCGGUGUAGCGGUGAAAUGCGUAGAGAUCGGGAGGAAUACCAGUGGCGAAGGCGGCCUUCUGGACUGACACUGACACUGAGGUGCGAAAGCGUGGGUAGCAAACAGGAUUAGAUACCCGAGUAGUC